AUUUUUAGUAAAGACAGAUUUCUCCAUAUUGGGCAGGCUGGUCUCGAACUCCUGACCUCAGGUGAUCCACCCACCUUGGCCUCCCAAAGUGCUGGGAUUACAGGUGUGAGCCACCGUGCCCAGCCAAUGGGGGUAUUUUUGAUGCCACUUCCUGAGUGAAGCACUUUGCAUGGGGGUGGGAAGAAGAACCCCCAUUCUCAGCCCACUCCGAGCAGGGCCUGGAGCAGUGGAGACGGUGGUUGGUAUCACAGGCAGAGCCUGAGUGAGGCCGGUGGACUUCUCCAACAGAAAAAGAUACUGGUUUUGGGGUACUAGGGUGAGGGAGGGGAUUAGGCUUGCUGGGGGCCCAUUCAAAGGAGGCCAGGCUCGGUGGCUCACACCUGUAAUCCCAGCACUUUGGGAGGCCAAGGCGGGAGGAUCGAUUGAGGCUAGUUCAAGACCAACCUGACCACAUGGCAAGCAAGACCCCACCUCUACCAAAAAAAAAACAACAAAAGAGGCUGCCAGGGAAGGAAGCCAGUCAGCAGCGGCCUGGCGCAGAGGCAGGAGCCUGAGGCCUGGGCCAGGGCAUCCAGGCACAGCCUGGUGGGCCAAAAGAGCUUGUGGCUGUCGUUAAAAGGGAAGAGGAGGUAUAGAAAUGGGAAGUGCCGGGCGGCUUCUGUGCUGGGAGUCAGGACACAGGCCUGGGUGUGUUUAUCCACACGUAUGUGCAUGUGCGUGGGUGUGUUCAUACACUUUAGAGUGUGUGUGCGCACAGGUGUGCAGAGCCCGUACCCGAGAGGUGGGACGGAGUAGUAUUUUGAGUUCUCAGAAGCGGUCUUGCUCUCGGGCCCCGAGUACAGAGAUGAUCAGGCGAGUGAGGCAGGACUUGAAUGCAGGCCGUGGCUCCAGGGAAAGGGUGGGGCGUCUCUGGUAGGAUGGCCUCACCCCACUUGUCAGAACUACUCUGGAGGGGGGCAAAGGUGUCAGGAACAGUUUGGCUGAGCGAUUCUGGCUCAGGGUUUUUCGUGAGGUUGCCGUUGUCUGAAAUCUUAGCCAAGGAUUGGAGAAUGCACUUCCAAGUUAGGCCUGGCUGUAGGCAGGAGGCCUCAGUCUUUCUCCAGCUGGGCCAACCCACGGGGCCGCUUGAGUGUCCUCACAAUAUGGCACCCAGCUUCCCCCCGCCAGAGCAAGAGAUUCAAGGGCCCAGGGUAGAAGCCCAAGUGUUACUUUUAUCCCUAGCCUCAGUCGCCUCCACCACGCUCUGGUGUGAUACAGCCCAGCUCUGAUUGGAAGGGGCUGGGCCUGCCCGUGCUGACUCUUCAGAGGCAUCCCAUGCUGAAGGUGGUGUUCCCAGGGAGAGCUUUUGGGGGCUGGCACUCCCUCACCUACUGGGGCUCAUUCUGGAAGAGGGUCCAGAAGAAUUGGAGACCCCUGCUCCUCACUCAACUUUGGAGGUGGCAGGGUGAACAGCAGGCCAAGUUGAGGGCCUGAGACAGGCCAAGACCAGUGCGGUUUCCCCUCCACUGCCUCAGUUUACCUGUAUUCAGAAGACGGGUCUGGGAAGAGUUGAGCAGAGUUCCCUCUAAAAGAGUAGGGAGCUGAUAACAAUCUCAAACCCUCCUCUUUAUGCCAAAAUCAUUUCCGUUAUCCUGAGAUGGGGUGAGUGGAUGGAUAGUGUACUGAGGGGCCUCUGCCCUGCCCAGAGACCCCAUCAAAGGGGAGCACAGGGGACUUCCUGCCCACGGCCCCCUCUGGCCCUUGCCUGGCAUGCCCGGGUCACCAGCAGCAGCAGUGGUGUUUCAGUGGUCCCAAGAUCUGGGGGAAGGGGAGAACCCGCCAUCUUACCCCUACCCCCCGGGGCCUUCAUGCUUAUUUUCUUGUUGAAGAAACACAAAACCCUCGAGAUUCAUGUACUGUAUGUUGGAGAGAAAAAAAUACCUAAUGUUCCCCCAAAAAAGACAGUAUAUUUUGUACUUUGUAAAGUGUUAAUUAAAAUGAAAAACGAUGCUGGCUGGUGGCUGUCUGGUUUUGUGCGGACCUAGCCAGAGACUGGCCUCAUCUCUUUCUCCUCCACGCUGUGAUUGUAAGAACACAGGCCAGGGGCUAGAGGGGGUAGAAAAACACCCCAGAACCUGAGGAAGGGCCCCCAGAGCCACAGGGGUUGUAUUAGUCACAUGGUGCUGCGUAACACGUUGCCUCAAAACUUAGCCACUUGUUAAACAUGAUCAUUAUUUAUAGAUCACGUUUUCUGCGGGUCAGGAAUUCCGGAAGUUUGGCUGAGCGAUUCUGGCUCAGAGUCGCUCAUGAGGUUGCCACUGUCUGAAAUCUUAGCUAAGGUUGGAGAAUGCACUUCUAAGUUACAUCUUGCUGUCGGCAGGAGGCCUCAGUCCUUCCCCCAAGUGGGCCAACCCACGGGGCUGCUUGAGUGUCCUCACAAUAUGGCGCCCAGCUUCCCCGAGAACAAGAGAUUCAAGGGCCCAGGUUAGAAACCGAAGUGUUAUUUUUAUCCCUAGCCUCGGAAUUCUCAUGCAGUUGCCUCUGCCGUGCUCUCUGGUGUGAUACAGUCCAGCUCCGAUUUGACAUGAAAGGGUUACAAGUGGGUAGAAACCGGGAGAUAAAGAUGACUGGAGACCAUCUUGGAGACCAGUUACUGUGCCCAGCAUCUCCACCCAGAUCUUGGGCAGAGGCAGGCCUGGGAGUUGGGGGCAGUCGGUGGAAGGAGUUGGACAGGGCCUUUCUGAUGGCAGGUGAAGGUCAGGCGCUGGUUGCCUGGCCGCAGGGUCUCUACCCCAAACUUAGAGCCCUGCCCUCGACAUUACAGCUCCAGGAAGGUUCCAGAAGCCCAGGAGCCGAUACCUCCAGAUUAGAUAUCCUGCGAGCAGAAGAGGGUCCCAUGCUUCCAGCUCCUGCCCUCUGGGUACAAGGGACGCUGGAUCUGCACCAGCAAGAAAAAGAAUGCUGAGUCUCACAGUGCGGGGAUUUGUGUCAACACGUGCCCCAGAGUGAGGACCGGGCAUGGAAGGGACACACGACAAGUAUCUGCUGAGUGAAUGCAUCAAAGGACUGGGAUAAAGGCAGACAGGGCACGGGAGUCCAGCCUGUGACAUGAGUACAAGGGCCUCUACCCACGGUCUUGAACGAAGGAAUCUGAGCCUGCUGAAUCUACGGGGAACCGAGCAGCAGCAACCAAGAAAAGGGCCAAGAGAAACCGUCCCUGUGACACCCAAGUGCUCCAGAAAACAGUGCUGCGGGUUUGUGACACAUAGGCCCUUUUUAAAAAAAAAAGACUAUACAUUUCUGGCUGGGCACGGUGGUU